rnacentral:misc_RNA from 1 species
UUCGCAAGGGCUGUAGCCAAAGCAUUAAUGGGCAUAGGUGGCCCAGUAGCAGCAUCUCUUAUUGGCAUGCCACCCAUGUCAUAGGGAACAGAAAGCAUAGUUCCAGCAACACCUGGCAUGUUGCGGCCAGGUGGAUAUCCAUAGACACAUCCCCUAGGAAGCAUCUAGUACAAGCCAAUUUUUCUUAUAACUAAGCUGUGAGCAAUAAAUAAGCACAACAAUGAAAAGGCCUAAUUUCUAACAACCUGCUGGUGCAUCAGAGGGACUGGCUGCUUGGUCUGUUGAAUAGGACCUGCUCUGCUCCAUAACGCCCUCCAGGGCGCUGGCGCUGCUGAAAUAGUGGGACAAAGAAAUUUGGCACCCAGGCCUCAUUCCAGGAACAAGUUGCUGCUGGUAUCCAACUAGCCUAAGGAAAUUGAAAGAUUCAAUAUCAAUAACAACAAUGAUGAGAUUAUUGUACAUCUAGAGAAUCACGUUCACUUCAUUAUUUGCACCUAAACUCGUAAAUGCAAUCAAAUUCACCACAAACACCAAGAGACUAGACUAAUCAUACUUCAUUAUCAUAUCCAAUUCAGACUACAAAAAUGAUGAAUAUAAAAUGAAGAUUUUUAGAAAUACAAGGCACUGAGUGCCACAAUGUUCAAGAAAAUCCAUCUCAGAUAGCUUUUACUCUUUUUCUACUCUUAUUGGACCAUCACAGACAAGAACAUUUCUUCCAACUACAAGUAGCAGACAUAUACAAAUUAUUUUAAAAAAAAUGAAAAUAGUAGAGCCAUUACAAAUACAGCUGGACAAUUUUAGAACAAUCAUAAAACUUUUACCUUCUUUAGAUCAGCAUACGAUGUAAAUGCAGAUUACAAAAAUAGUCAUCCAAACCAAGAUCAAAGAGGAUGAAACUAGAAGCCAAGCACACAAUUUCAAUAAAGCAAAAAAAUUCAAACAUAAAAAUGAACAAUCAUGUUUGCAACAACUGAUUAUUAAGUAGAACCAUUUUCUUUUUCUCACUGGAUCAAGUAGUAUGAAUGUAGCAAAGAAAAAGAAAUUAAAGACAGGUUACCUGGGAGGAAUUAUGGCUGAAGGUGCCUGACUAUAUAAAAAUUGCUGACCUAGGCCAGUACCUGGAGAAUGUAUUGGCAUUCGAGGAGCAACUGAAGAUGCCAUGGUAACUGGCCUCAUCUGUGAAAACUGUGCCUGCAGGGAACACACCUCCCGUGUGAAAAAAAGGAGUUCAUAGAUAUACGGAUAAUGUGUCAUCUUAACAAAUUCAGUGAAAAUUAACACCUAAAAAGGGGGAAUCAAGAUAACUAAUAAACAUUCAUCCUGCACCAGAUAAAGAAAGGGACAUUUAAUUCAUGCCAACAUAACAAAUAUCCAUUGAUAAAUCAAUUACUAAAUGAAAUCCAAUCGCACUCUAAUGAUAUGCAAUAUUUAAAAAAAAAAUUGUUCAAAAGAUCCUCUCUUUAUAAAUAGGGGAAAAAAAUCAAUUGGAGAAAUCUGUAGGUCAAUCAAAAUGGUCUUAUGAGUGUCAGUGUCAAAGCACGACAAAUAACAGCUGAAUCAAAUAAUAUGUUAACCACAAAGGCAAUGCAUGUGCCCACAUAAAUCCAGCUUAUCUGAAUGCAACAUGACAUAGACGAAAUCCAAUCCUCGGGAAAUUCAUAAAUCAUCAUAGAAAAUAUUAGAAUAUUAGUCCAGUAGCUCCUCAACCAUAAUACCUGAAGUCUUGCCCUUCGCUCUUCCUUCCGUUGAGCAAGAGCGACAUAGAGGGGUUUGCCAACCACCAUUUUACCAUUCAUCUCUGAAAGCUCUAUAGAAACAAAUAAGCACACAUUAAUUUCUGAUCACAUACUAUAACAACCAUAAAGAUUAGAACUUACAGCACAAGACGCUUCCUCAAGAGUUGAAAAGGCGACAAAACCAGAACCUCUGCUAAUUUCACUUGGGUCACACAUAACCUGCAAAUUAAAGACUUAAAAUUGAUGAAUUAUAGAAGAGAUGAGAUCAUUAAAAAUGUUUACCACAUAAGGAAACAUAAUUACAUGCCUUGCAUGAAGUAAUUGUACCAAAGUCGGCAAACAGUUCCUUUAGCUUCUCAUCAUUGAUGCUAUCA